UUACCGCGGCUGCUGGCACGUAGUUAGCCGGGGCUUAUUCCUUGAAUACCGUCAUGGAUUCUUCUUCAAGAAAAGAACUUUACAACCCGAAGGCCUUCAUCGUUCACGCGGCGUUGCUGCAUCAGGCUUUCGCCCAUUGUGCAAUAUUCCCCACUGCUGCCUCCCGUAGGAGUCUGGACCGUGUCUCAGUUCCAGUGUGGCCGAUCACCCUCUCAGGUCGGCUACUGAUCGUCGCCUUGGUAAGCCGUUACCUUACCAACUAGCUAAUCAGACGCGGGCCCAUCCUGUACCACCAGAGUUUUUACCCCUGUGCUAUGCAGCACUGUGGUCUUAUGAGGUAUUAAUCACCGUUUCCAGUGGCUAUCCCUCUGUACAGGGCAGGUUGCCCACGCGUUACUCACCCGUCCGCCGCUUUCCACUCCAUCCGUCACCCGAAGGAUCCGUCAGAAGCUUCUCGCUCGACUUGCAUGUGUUAAGCACGCCGCCAGCGUUCAUCCUGAGCCAUGAUCAAACUC
rnacentral:rRNA from 1 species